rnacentral:rRNA from 1 species
ACGAAGGGUGCAAGCGUUAAUCGGAAUUACUGGGCGUAAAGCGCGCGUAGGUGGUUCGUUAAGUUGGAUGUGAAAUCCCCGGGCUCAACCUGGGAACUGCAUUUGUGACUGCAUUGCUAGAGUGCGGUAGAGGGGGAUGGAAUUCCGCGUGUAGCAGUGAAAUGCGUAGAUAUGCGGAGGAUCACCGAUGGCGAAGGCAAUCCCCUGGGCCUGCACUGACGCUCAUGCACGAAAGCGUGGGGAGCAAACAGGA